rfam:Lactobacillus coleohominis DSM 14060 Scaffold228, whole genome shotgun sequence.
ACUAAAGCGAAGACCGAGAAAGUUAUGGAUUCAAUCAACAGAGACGGCUACCGGUGAAAAUGCCGAGUGAAUCUUGUUUAGUAGCUCGCGAGCAAGCUAAUUGAACUAAUAGUAGGUUAGCUCGGGUCAUUCCCGUUAUAUAAUGAAGAGUGAAGAUAUAUUUAAUAUCUUAAUUUAGGUGGUACCGCGAGUGAGCUCGUCCUAUUA